AUUGAACGCUGGCGGCAUGCUUUACACAUGCAAGUCGAGCGGUAACAGGCCUUCGGGUGCUGACGAGUGGCGAACGGGUGAGUAAUGCAUCGGAACGUACCCAGAGGUGGGGGAUAACGCAGCGAAAGCUGUGCUAAUACCGCAUGUGAUCUGAGGAUGAAAGCGGGGGACCGAGCAGCAAUGUUUGGCCUCGCGCCUUUGGAGCGGCCGAUGUCGGAUUAGCUAGUUGGUGGGGUAAAGGCCUACCAAGGCGACGAUCCGUAGCUGGUCUGAGAGGACGACCAGCCACACUGGGACUGAGACACGGCCCAGACUCCUAUGGGAGGCAGCAGUGGGGAAUUUUGGACAAUAGGCGCAAGCCUGAUCCAGCAAUGCCGCGUGCGGGAAGAAGGCCUUCGGGUUGUAAACCGCUUUUGGCAGGAACGAAACGGUGUCCGCUAAUACCGGGCGCUAAUGACGGUACCUGCAGAAUAAGCACCGGCUAACUACGUG
rnacentral:rRNA from 1 species